UCCGGUUGGAUGCAUGUCCUUCCGGGAAAGAUUCCAUCGGUAUGGGAUGGGGUCGCGUCCUAUCAGCUUGAUGGCGGGGUAACGGCCCACCAUGGCUUCGACGGGUAGCCGGCCUGAGAGGGCGACCGGCCACAUUGGGACUGAGAUACGGCCCAGACUCCUACGGGAGGCAGCAGUGGGGAAUAUUGCACAAUGGGCGCAAGCCUGAUGCAGCGACGCCGCGUGCGGGAUGGAGGCCUUCGGGUUGUAAACCGCUUUUGAUCGGGAGCAAGCCCUUCGGGGUGAGUGUACCUUUCGAAUAAGCACCGGCUAACUACGUGCCAGCAGCCGCGGUAAUACGUAGGGUGCAAGCGUUAUCCGGAAUUAUUGGGCGUAAAGGGCUCGUAGGCGGUUCGUCGCGUCCGGUGUGAAAGCCCAUCGCUUAACGGUGGGUCUGCGCCGGGUACGG
rnacentral:rRNA from 1 species